AUGUUCAAGCCAAACUCCGCGCCGAGGCCGACACUCUCAAGCUCUGCAACAAGGUGUUCCUGGAGUCGCGAGAGGCCGUCCGGGUAUACCUCUUGCUUCUUUAUUUUUAGUUCUUGCAUUGCUUCAUGGGGGCGCGCCAGCGCAUCCACUGGGUGUAGUCCUCGAGUUGCGGGCCGGCUGCUGAGCAAGCGGCCCGAAACUCUAAUUAGCGAGCUCCAAGCACUAAUAUGUUUGCUGCAGGAUUAUCAUAACCUCCUUGCGGCCGCCUUCAACUCCAGAGUUCAGGAGUUGGAUCAACAUGCCACCGACUUGUCGGAGAGCCGGAAGGUCAAUGCCACCCUUCAACGGCAACUGGGCGAAGCCAACGCCGCGCUUCAUGCCAAGGAGGUGGACUACGGCAAGCUGGCCGAAGAGCACGACCGGCUGAUCGCGCGACUGGCGGAGCAGGCCGAGCUUCUCCAAAGGGCCCAGAAGGAGGCGAAGGACAAGGAGGCGGGUCUUCUUGCUGAGUUCGAGAUCGAGCGCUCCGCCUGGACCGACAAGGAGGCGAUGCUACCGGCCGGCUUUGGCGAGAUCGAGGACAUGGCCGACACUUCUUCCCAGGUCAUUUUGGUGCCGCCAACCAGGCUAUCGAGGCCGACCGCGAUGGACGAAGGGUAG
rnacentral:rRNA from 1 species